rnacentral:rRNA from 1 species
AUUGAACGCUGGCGGCAGGCCUAACACAUGCAAGUCGAGCGGAUGAAGGGAGCUUGCUCCUGGAUUCAGCGGCGGACGGGUGAGUAAUGCCUAGGAAUCUGCCUGGUAGUGGGGGAUAACGUCCGGAAACGGGCGCUAAUACCGCAUACGUCCUGAGGGAGAAAGUGGGGGAUCUUCGUACCUCACGCUAUCAGAUGAGCCUAGGUCGGAUUAGCUAGUUGGUGGGGUAAAGGCCUACCAAGGCGACGAUCCGUAACUGGUCUGAAAGGAUGAUCAGUCACACUGGAAUUGAGACACGGUCCAGACUCCUACGGGGGGCAGCAGUGGGGAAUAUUGGACAAAGGGCGAAAGCCUGAUCCAGCCAUGCCGCGUGUGUGAAGAAGGUCUUCGGAUUGUAAAGCACUUUAAGUUGGGAGGAAGGGCAGUAAGUUAAUACCUUGCUGUUUUGACGUUACCAACAGAAUAAGCACCGGCUAACUUCGUG